AAGUCAUGAUGUGGACAUACUUUGAGUAUAUUUUUUAUAUCUCUUCCAUGCUUCAAGGACAGAUUCAUUUUCCUUUUGAGAAAAGGAAGCGAUGUCCUUCCUUGAUCG